rnacentral:rRNA from 1 species
UACGUAGGGGGCGAGCGUUGUCCGAAGUUACUGGGCGUAAAGCGCGCGUAGGCGGCUUUUUAAGUCUGGUGUGAAAGGCUCAGGGCUCAACCCGAGCAGUGCACUGGAUACUGGGAAGCUUGAGUUGGGGAGAGGAGAGUGGAAUUCCUGGUGUAGCGGUGAAAUGCGUAGAUAUCAGGAGGAACACCAGUGGCGAAGGCGGCUCACUGGACUGGUACUGACGCUGAGGCGCGAAAGCGUGGGGAGCAAACGGG